AACCCGUGAUGUGGGCAUUUCUGAAUCAGCAUUUUAAAAUGCUCCCUAGCUUCGUGAAAACUUUCUCCCUCUAAUUGUUUGAACAUAGAAAUUUUCCCUCUUAGUU
rfam:Gossypium arboreum cultivar AKA8401 contig_6762_1, whole genome shotgun sequence.